rnacentral:lncRNA from 1 species
UUUACUCAUUGUCUUUCACAAUUGAAUGACCUCACAGUGACCAUCUCUGCUUGUGUCAGUUGUAGUGAUGAUGAAGAUGUUGCACCAUUGUCAGCCAAAUUUGCUGAUAUUUAUCCAUUGAGUAAUUAUGAUGAUACCGAGGUGGUGGCCAACAUGAAUGGAAUCCACAGCGAAUUGAAUGGUGGCGGGGAAAACAUGGCCCUGAAGGAUGAGUCUCCUCAGAUAAGCAGUACCAGCAGUAGUUCCUCAGAAGCUGAUGAUGAAGAAGCGGACGGCGAGAGUAGUGGGGAGCCCCCAGGGGCCCCGAAGGAAGAUGGAGUGCUGGGAAGCAGGAGCCCCAGGACAGAGGAGAGCAAAGCAGACAGUCCACCCCCAUCCUACCCAACACAGCAGGCUGAACAAGCUCCAAACACUUGUGAAUGUCAUGUUUGUAAGCAAGAAGCUUCUGGACUGACACCAUCUGCAAUGACAGCCGGAGCCCUUCCUCCUGGCCAUCAGUUCUUGAGCCCAGAGAAGCCCACACACCCUGCACUGCACCUUUACCCUCACAUCCAUGGACAUGUGCCUUUGCACACUGUUCCACACCUGCCACGCCCUCUCAUCCACCCCACCUUGUAUGCAACGCCCCCCUUCACACACAGUAAGGGAGUGAAAUAUUAGGGCCAACACUCUCAGAAACAAGACCGGAAGCCCUUCCACCUCCAGCUAGCAAUGAAACACCUGCAGUCUCGGAUAGUAAAGAGAAAAAGAAUGCUGCAAAAAAGAAAUGUUUAUACAAUUUCCAAGAUGCUUUCAUGGAAGCAAAUAAAGUUGUCAUGGCCACAUCAUCAGCCACGUCCUCUGUGUCCUGCACAGCUACCACAGUGCAGUCCAGCAACAGCCAGUUCAGAGUGUCAUCCAAGAGACCUCCUUCAGUAGGUGACGUGUUUCAUGGCAUCAGCAAGGAGGACCACAGACACUCGGCCCCAGCCGCCCCGAGGAACAGCCCCACGGGCUUGGCCCCACUCCCAGCGCUCUCGCCUGCUGCGCUGUCACCUGCUGCGCUCUCACCUGCCUCCACACCUCACCUUGCAAAUCUUGCAGCCCCAUCAUUCCCCAAAACAGCAACCACAACUCCUGGGUUUGUGGACACACGCAAGAGUUUCUGUCCUGCACCCCUGCCCCCGGCCACAGAUGGCUCCAUUAGCGCCCCUCCAAGUGUCUGCAGUGACCCUGACUGCGAAGGGCACCGCUGCGAGAAUGGUGUCUACGACCCACAGCAGGAUGAUGGGGACGAGAGUGCAGAUGAGGACAGCUGCUCUGAGCACAGCUCCAGCACCUCGACCUCCACCAACCAGAAGGAGGGCAAGUACUGCGACUGCUGCUACUGCGAAUUCUUUGGGCACGG